CAAUAGCGUAUAUUUAAGUUGCUGCAGUUAAAAAGCUCGUAGUUGGAUUUCGGGUGGGAAUGGCCGGUCCGCCGUUUCGGUGUGCACUUGCUACGCCCACCUUGCUGCCGGGGACGUGCUCUUGAGUUCACGCUCGGGACACGGAGUCGGCGAGGUUACUUUGAGUAAAUUAGAGUGUUCAAAGCAGGCCUACGCUCUGAAUACAUUAGCAUGGAAUAACACGAUAGGACUCCGGCCUAUCUUGUUGGUCUGUAGGACCGGAGUAAUGAUUAAGAGGGACAGUCGGGGGCAUUCGUAUUUCAUUGUCAGAGGUGAAAUUCUUGGAUUUAUGAAAGACGAACUACUGCGAAAGCAUUUGCCAAGGAUGUUUUCAUUAA
rnacentral:rRNA from 1 species